UGAUGAUCAUACUAGGUACACUUGGUUGUAUCCUUCGAAAUAGAAAUCUGAAGUACUUGAAGUGUUUGUUGAGUUUCAGAAAAUGGUAGAAAACCAAUUUUCAAAGAGGAUUAAAGUUUUUCAAUGUGAUGGAGGGGGUGAAUUUUCUAAAGCUAAAUUUAUUACUCAUGUUGAAAAUUGUGAGACAAAUUUCGUGCCCAAAUACUCCUGGACAAAAUGGAGUUGCGGAAAGGAACAUAGACAUAUUUUGGAGACUGGUUUAACACUAUUGUGUCGUUUAAGCUGCCUCUUUAUUUGUGGGUUGAUGCAUUCUUGACUGCUAUGUUUCUUGUAAAUAGGAUUCCCUCAUCGGUUCUCAAGAUGGAACUCCCAUUUUCAAAUUGUAUGAUACUCACCCUGCCUCCAAUGUACCUCAACUCCAGUGUGAGCACUUCAAAUUUUGUAUGCAGGAACAAAGCUGAGGAGCCGACUAUUUCAGGGGAAGUGUUGACAAGAGGUGAAAAGUUACGUCACUGAGCCAGUUGACGUUACUGUUGUUCCAAGUGAUCUGACUGAUGCUAGUAUAUCAGAUGAAUUGAUCGAGGAGUCAACUGAGACUGCUGUAACAAAUGAGUCAAUUGAGGCUGUUGUACCAAGAAUAAGAAGUCAGAGAGAAACAAAAACUCCAGGUUACCUUGAUGACUUUGUUUGCAAUGUUGUGAUAGCAUUAGCUAUUCCAUAUUGGCAUAUCGCAAUGCAAGAGGAGCUGGAAACACUCAAAAAGAAUGAUACAUGGAGUCUUGUUCCCAGGAAAGUAGGGGCGGAUCUAUGUAGGGGGUUACAACUGUGAGCAAUUGUAACGACUACAGGAAGCUAUUAUGAAUGUGAAUUGGAGCUGACUUCACUGUUAUGUGGUAAACUUUCUUGC